rnacentral:rRNA from 1 species
GAUGAACGCUAGCUACAGGCUUAACACAUGCAAGUCGAGGGGAAACGACAUCGAAAGCUUGCUUUUGAUGGGCGUCGACCGGCGCACGGGUGAGUAACGCGUAUCCAACCUGCCCAUCACUUGGGAAUAACCUUGCGAAAGUAAGACUAAUACCCAAUGAUAUCCCACGAAGGCAUCGGAAUGGGAUUAAAGAUUUAUCGGUGAUGGAUGGGGAUGCGUCUGAUUAGCUUGUUGGUGGGGUAACGGCCCACCAAGGCAACGAUCAGUAGGGGUUCUGAGAGGAAGGGCCCCCACAUUGGAACUGAGCCACGGUCCAAACUCCUACGGGAGGCAGCAGUGAGGAAUAUUGGUCAAUGGGCGAGAGCCUGAACCAGCCAAGUAGCGUGCAGGAAGACGGCCCUAUGGAUUGUAAACUGCUUUUAUAAGGGAAUAAAGUGGGUCACGUGUGACUUUUUGCAUGUACCUUAUGAAUAAGGACCGGCUAAUUCCGUG